UGUGCUUUGUGAGGAACAAGGGAAGAUAGAGAGUGCAGUAAGGGAGAGAAAGGUAGAUUCGGAAAAGAGAGAGACGUGCCUCCGACAACGGGUUCCCGGCACGUGCAGAUGGUGGCGGCUUAAGGGUUUUCUGUGGUUUAGUUCUGCUAUGCGGCUGAAACCAAAGCUCUUUAUAAGGCCCUCAAUAAGUGAUGGUGGGUGCAGCUAUUGGUUGAAUUAAGCGGGUUUUGAUGACAUGUACCCAUCUUAACUCUAUCCGUAUCAUUUAAUUGAAGAUUAGAUUAUCUCAGACCUUAAAAGAUGAAUUGUUAUUAAUGUUUUUAUAAUAUUAAGACAAUAAAUCAAGAGUUUUACCUCUUUAAAAGUCCAACUUUGAUGUAGAUUUCAGUAAUGUUUGUUAGUUUUGAUAUUGAGUUGUAAGUUGAUGUUGAAAUGUGGAUGAUUUGCAGUAUAAAGAAGUGCAGGGUAAAUGGGCUUUUACAAUAUAGUGUCUUUAUUUAGCAUUAUUUUAUUUGAUAUUAGGUUAUCAAUAGGUGAUUAUUGGGAUUUUAGAUACAAAGCAUUUGAUGAAUUGGAAGGAAUUGAAGUAGCUUGGAAUCAAAUAAACAUUUCUGAUUUCUUAAGGAAUCCAAAGGAGCUGGAGCGUCUAUACUCAGAAGUUCAAUUACUUAAAACGCUUAGGCCUAAGAACAUUAUCAAAUUUUACAUUUCUUGAGUUGAUACAAUGAAGGGUACAUUGACUUUAUUACUGAGAUUUUUACAUCUAGAACAUUAAGACAUAAGUUUUAAUUUGUGUCGCGUGUAUUUUGUUGCUGAGACAUGUGAAAAAACGAUGGCUUUGGAUGAUAGUGUGAUUGUCAAAUUUAGAGGCUUGGUAAUUAUCAAAGUUAAUGGAGUGUGCCUUAUAUAACUUACAAUAUUUGUCCGGUAUUUAUUCCUUUUAUUUACAAUUUAGCCAUCCAUGAUACUGGUAGUAAGUUAAAUCAUUGAUGUGUUAAUCUUACAUAUAAGAUAUAAAAACAUAUUUUAGUGAAAUAAAUUAUUUUGGUCAAACUUGGACUUUUAAAGAGGUAAAUCCCUGACUUAUCUCUCAAAAAUUGAAUCUUGGUUCUUUGGUUAUGAUUUAUCGGGGGUCAUCAUCGCGGUUCUUACAGUUUUUUAAAGAAUUGGUGAUAUAUUCAUUUCAUGGUAAGUAUAAAAAAUUUUCUAUGUUAAUUUCUUAACGAUGAUGUAAUGUAUGGAUGCAUGUUUUCACAUGAGAAUCGACUAUAAAUCACUGUUUGAAAAAUUAUUCUUAGGUUCCGGAUAUGUGGAACAAUAACGGAUCAAUUGCUCUGCAUGGAACAGGCGAAGGACCGUCACUAGAACCGCCGGGGCGGAGGUGUUGGUGGCUCUACUCUGCCACCGCCACGGCUGCUCAACCAUCGUAUAUUGUGUUGUCAUCUCUAAUGGAAGCGGAGGCAUGGUUGGAGGAGUAGGCGCGACUGCGGGAUGCAGUUGAACUCGAAGUGGUAUGGUGAUAAAUAGAAGUUUGGAUUAGUUGAGACGUAUAAGGAAGAUAUGUCGCCGGAGCAUGUUAAGAAGAUUAUCAGGUGUCGAUAACCUACCAUGGCCAUCAAAUUGCACGGGAUCUUACGUUCAACCCCAACAUAUCAUGCUAUGGUGGCACUUUUUGAAAAGGAUCUCAACUUCUAGUUCGUUCUGGUCGAUUUUACCACCUCUGAACAGACCACACCUCAGUUUGUCGCUCUCAACGAUCUGGUACUUAAGGAUGCGAAGAAAUCAGUAAUCUAUCUGCGAUAUAGACAUUGUGGAUCGAAGUGGAAGCAUAGAAGUUUGAUCCGACGUCUUCGAAACUGACUUGGGAGUUGUAUUUUAACCAGAUCCCCGCCGCAUUUCGGCGGGUUGUAAAUCUAGUUAUUAAUUAAACAACAUUGCUUAGAUAUAUUAGAAUAUAUGUAUAUAAACACACAC